UACGCACGCCGCCUCGAACGAGACGGUGCGG
rnacentral:sRNA from 1 species